AGGGGGGGCGGCCGGGGCCCGGGGCCGGCCGAGACAAGUCCCGGCCUGCCCCGUCGUUUCCUCUGAUUGGUUCCUUUCUGCCUCACCGUUCCAAUUAUUGGCUAUUAUGGCUGUCCUUCGAGAUAAAGCUCCGCCCGCCUGCCUUGCCCCGAAUCUGACUCCGCCCCCCCAGCCCCUGUGAUUGGUUCAUCUGGGCUCCUCCCAUCUGUUGGCUCAGACCCCCUCACUCCCUCGUGAUUGGGUCCAUUGCCGGCUUCUCUCAUCAUGAUUGGCUCAGGUCCCUCGGUGGCCAUGCUCCUCUGCUCCCGCCCCUUGCUGUGAUUGGCUCCUCCCCGCUGCGGUCACAAUUGUGUCCAAUCCCCUUGCAGCGGAAAUGGCUGUGCUGGUCUCCAGGGUACUUCCUGUUUAUGUGCUUAGGGUCAUACAGAGAAAGCAUUGUUUGGGCUCAGUGCUACCAGUUUUUAUGGAUCCUGAGGUAGGGAAAGCUACAAACUGAAGGGAAAAAGGAGUAGAAAACUGCGAGGGCGCUGGUCCUCUGCCGAAAUACCUGUCAUGGCUCCUCUCGGCCCGGCUUUCAAGACCUCGGCAGGGCAGAUCUGGGAGUGAUCCCCUCGAAGCUCGCCCCCUCAGAACACAAAGCAGGGCCGGGGCGAAGAGACCCCAGCGCCUGAGAGCAUGGCUUGAGGGCCAGGACCCUCAUUUUAUUCCUCUGCCAGCUGUUGAGAUUUUCCAUUCUAAGAGAAAACAAUAGCAUUUCUAUAGCGCUUUAAGGGUCUCUGCUGGCACCAGCCUAGCCUCUCAUCAGCUGAAAGAGGUAGACUAGCUCUCCAAAACAAGGCCAGAAGAGUCAGAAGGUUUGGGUUUGGAAUGAGAAGCCCCCCCCCCCCCAGCUCCAAGCAUCUCCUCUCCCCCAUCAAUCCUCAGAUGGGCACUUGGGUGAGAGCUUCUCUCUGUGGGGCCGACUUAGAAGGAAUUGACAAGAAUCUGCAUCAAUAUUCUUCCCAUCCCAGCUGCCCCCAUCCUCUUCUUUUCAUCCCAGCCUCCGAAAAGUGCUUCCUGAGCAGUAAUUAACUCAAUUGCUCUCCUGUUGAUGAGGAAUGAUGGGAAAACUUCAGAGAGGCCUCCAGAUGCUUAAAAAAACACCCCCCAAAACUUGAGGCCAGGAAGUUUUUAAAGAAUGUCUCGGAACUAUGUGUGACUAUCUUCCCUCAUCUCAGUAGCAAUUAAGAAAGUCUGCAGAGUGGGAGAGGCCAAGCAGCGAGCUCUCCAGGAAAAUAAAAAGCCAGCUGUUUGCUUUGGACACGGGCUCCCCCUCAUUAUCAGCUCCGGCUGGAGGGUCGGGGAAUGGGGACUAGCCACAGUAUUUUUCCUUAGGCCAGAAGGUGUUUUCUUUCUUUCCAGCAGAGACUAAGUGAAAAUAGUGAAAAGUUACUGACUUACAGAGAGAGACAAAAAAAUCAACAAACCCCAAACUUCCCAGACUUAGGUAGGGUAUUUGUUGGCCAAAGAUAAAAAGAGCCAUCAGUGUA